UUACCCCGCGCGCUGACGUUACGCAGAAGCGCGCGGAGUUCCGACUCCGCCACGGCGCUGAGGUGGCAGGAGGCUCCUAGUUCCUCUCCCCGGAUUCCGAUCGAAACCCGCUUUGCUACCCUGGACGUGAGAUUUCUACUUCAAGGCGAGGGACACAGCGGUAAUAAGAGGCCAGAGGGGUAAAAGGAACACGCCAUGAUCCACAGUUCAGUGGGCCACGGGGGCUGGGAUGGGUGGAGCCUAGAAAUCCUUUCGGAAUCCAGCUGCCCCCGCGUCCCGGAUGCGGCGCUCCUACCCACCGGAUUGCCUUGGGGACCCUCGGUUCUGAGUCUUCGGCAGCGUGGCGCCGUGAGCGAGGCGCACAGGAUCCCCCCAGGCCCGCCACAUCUACGCAUUUAGAAGCCGGGUAGGCCUGCAGUCGAAGAUGCUCAGAGGAGGAGGAAGUGGCGAGAAAAAGAAGGCUGAAAAACAAACAACCCCCCCCCAAACAAAAAACCCACCCCUAACAUAAAGCACCAAAACCAACACUGAGGCUGGACUGUUUCGGUUUCACACGAAGCGACCUGGUGUAUCUGGAGAAGGUUUUGAAGACGUUUAGGAGGCAGGGUGAGCUUUCUGCUGAGAAACUCAAUCUGCCAUACAGUAGCGGCCCCAUCUGGGAACUGUCACUGCUGACAGCACCAUAGGGCACAGCGUGAUCUUCCGCACAGCCUCACUCCCCGAAAUACCCUCCUUAAUCAAAGGGUGUCUGCGCUGGAGCAGAGCUGACCGCGUGAGCAGAAGGGCCUGUGG
rnacentral:lncRNA from 1 species